UGCUACAAGCACUCGCGACGCUCGGCCAGUGCGAGUAAUCUUCCUGAUCAACACUCCACACGUGUCGGUCGCCUUGACUGGCUUCAUUGCGGGCGCGAAAAAAGAACAGAGCUGCCAUAGCUGACUCAAGGCAUGCUUCACAACGAGGGCGCUUGGCGCUUCUCGGCACCUAGUUGGCGCAUCGAAAAAAGAAAAUCAUGUUUUCAUAAAGGUAUAAUCACGCUUGCACAUCUAACCUUUAGAGCAGGCGUAGUUGUCUGGAUACGAGAGAUAGGACUUCAGGCAUGGAAAUCAAUGAUAAAGGGGUUGGUCUGAGACUUGCACUGCUUCUACUGCUUCGACCUACUCCGGUAUUGUCCAACUUUGGUAUGAUACUACGACAGUACGACGAUGGCGUAAUGACAAUGAUGGCCGAUCCUAGAUAUUAAAGAAUACCAGGAAGCGGAUCAACGGCUCUACCAAGUUUUUUUAUAAUGGUCCGUCAAACUAACCACGGGUAACAGCUAUUUCUUCAUCGACGUUCCUUAACGAGAGAAUGUGAAUUGAGUGCAAGACGUUGGCUGAACGUUGCACAAAUAGCCAAGCAAAGAUUCAGGCUACGAAGGUAUAGGAAACAGGACAGAAUGGAGAGAAAGAGGGAGGCAUAGCGGUAGAAGAUAUAGAGGCUCUCAAAAAUAAAGAAUGGGCCUUCGGCAAUACCAACGAAUUACCACAAUGGAAUGGACAUGAAUGUACGCAGUGCUAUCUCCAAAUACCAGGUCUCAUUGCUUCA